ensembl:lncRNA
CUGAGGUGGGUCUGGGGGCUCGAGGCCUAGCGCCCUGCUCAGCCUCCUCCCCUCGAGUUCUUUGCUGAAGUUGAGCUUUGUGCUGUUUUUUUUCCCCCUCCAAUUUAUCUUAUCCUUCAGCGUUCCCCGCUGCUUUCGACCUUAAAAACAUCGGGUUCCUUCCUUAAUCAAAAAAAAAAAAAGCGUGGGCUAACACAUUAGUGCCCAACCCCUGGCUAUGCCCUGAGCCAAACGGUUUUGCAGCUGGAAGUCGUUCAGUGGGUGCUCAGGAUGAGUGGAGGAGCAAAGCAUCCUCUCCAGGAGCGCCGUUCUGCUGCUGCGUGUGUUAGAAGCCAAGCAGUGAGUGCAUCUCCCUGUCCAACUCCCCGAAUCAGCUCACCGAGGACACAGGCUUGGAAGUAGGGGAAGAGAUCUCUUUUCUGCAGCAAGACACCAUUGGAUCUGCUGAGCUUCAGCGCAAAACCACGUCCUAAGUGAAGUCUCACAUGUCAGUGUUUAAAAGGUAUUUGCAGUUGUUCAGCUUUCUCUCAUAGAAUCAUUAAGGCUGGAAAAGACCUCCAAGAUCACCAAGGCCAACCCCCAACCCAUCCCGUCAACACCACUGCCCACGUCCCUCAGUGCCACAUCUCCACGGUUCUGGAACGCCUCCAGGGAUGGUGACCCCACCACCUCCCCAUGAGAAGUGAUGCGUGGGGCAACCAUCAGAAAAGCAGUGCUUUUGUAUUAUGGUGCUUUCCCAAAUCAAGUUGCUCCCCUGGAAAUAGUUGUGUUUGCUUACAGCCACCUUGCUUCAAAAAUGUGCAGGAAUUGUGGGCACGUUGUUUCUGCAGCAUACGCUCUGUGAUGUUUUCUGUGCUAGAGCCAGCUUGGAAAAUGAAUGAAAAAAGAAAUGUUUUGCUCAUUCUUGCUGGAUACUUAAUGGAGCUCAUUGGCAGCAGUGUUCCUUCCCCAGGGAUCUUUCUAGAGUCAUUAGGCUCAGUGAAGGAUGAUCUGGAAGAGUCUGCUUGUAAGAAACUGCUGCUUCUCUGAAGUGUGAAACGUUUCCUGGCUAUAGGAGCUGUCAGCCACCCCUGAGCAGCUGCAAAGAGAUAACAGAGGAGCUGGGAAGGGCAGAUUGAGAGGUUAGUACCUCUAUCCGUAAAUAAAUAAUAACACAUAGGGGCAAAAAAUCCUUCAACUUCAAGGAUAGUGCUACACCUGCAAAGAGAGGAGGGCAGGAAUUUGCUGCUUUUCUGCUCAGCUGGGCUGCCCUUUGGGAAACAGGCAUUUUCAAGAAGGAUUUUGAUGCAAUUUCCAGGUGUGACUGUGAUAAUGUUUUCAGUGCAGCAUUUUGAGGGAGAAACCUUUACUGAACAUAACCUUGGGCAAGAUUUAAAAAAAAAUCAAGGGUGAUAGGAAGUGAUAAAAGAGUUGGCAGUCACGCAACUAUGGAUAUGUGUGGGAAGGCCAAAAAUGUGCUCUGUUUCUUAUCAUAAAGAAGGAAACAACUCUGGUAUCAGGAAAGUAGAAGGCUGCCCUCUGACGGCUCCUGUCCUCCCGAGUGUCAGCCCAAGCACAGCUGUAUGUUGUGUUGCAGGGUCCUCACAGGGAGGUGGAUGUCCCAAAUGAGCUCCAAAGCCACGAGCAUUCGUUGGAAGGACCCCAGAACAGCAGCCAGGUACAGUCAGUCCAGCUGCAUCACAUUGCAUUGUGUUAAAACAGGGCAGCAGUUCUUGCCUGGAGGUGCCUUGAUUGGAAGGUGUCAUCAAGAUGAGGUGUACUGCGAAUAAAUAGAUUUCUGCAGGACUUGUUUGGUGUGCAGUGGAUGCAUUUAAUAAUGUCAUAGUAUUUACUCAUUUAUCUAGAAGCCAAGGGCAUAGGUGAAAUUUCGAGCCCCCCCCCAAAAUUGACUCUUAUCACUAAAAAUGUGGUUGAGAUGCAUUAUUUUAACUCCUGUGUUACCUCCAUCCUCAGUGAGCAGAUUGGAGAAGCAGCAGUGAGCUGUAUGGCAAAGGAAACAACCUGCAGCAUGGGAAGAGCCAGGGCUGAGUCUGGGUGCAGUGACCAUAUCCGGGUCCCCACAGGGGCGGGGGGUCAGAGCAGGUCUAACCAAUUGCAGCUGCAAACAUCUGCUGGUCCCACCCCAGAACUUUUCUCCUCACAGUGCCAGAUUGUAACAGCACGUGUAAUGCCGGCAUUACACCACUGGCUGUUUGCUUCUUUGGCCAGGUUUCAGAUUUGCUUGGUGUUAGGCACUGCCUUGGCCUUGGAUUGGCAGAGAGUAGGUAGUCAGUGUCCCACACAGUAGCCACUAAGCUGACUUCUCGGGGGUGUAUGCUGCUGUACAUAGCCUGGUUCUGCAAACUGUGCCUUGCAGCAGAAAGUUGCAGGCUCCCAAAAGAAGCAGCUCAGGCUGCCAAUGAGUCCAGGGGAAGCUUUUUGUCUCCUCUGCUUGGUCUCCAUGUCUUUAGGCAGGCAGGCCCAUGUGGCUGAAGAAGUGGGCUUAGAGAGCAGGUGGAGUUGUGAUGGACAGUUUGCAAAAGUCCUCACUACUGUGCUGCAUGCAGGGAAACGUGUCUGGAAAGAUGCUGAACCUGAGUAAAAUAUUCUAGACAGUGAGACUGGAUGGUUUGAAUGGCAGCUUGUAUCCCUAAGCUCCUAUUUCCUGACAGGUAUUUUAGUUUGAAGAAUGCUUUAAGUCGGUGUGCUCGCCACAUAGUAAGCCCCAUAGGUGGGCUGGUAAUUGCUGCUGAACUGGUACAUCCAAGGGAUUUAAGAUGGACUUGGCUUCACUAAGGCAUCAGUUGUCUCUGUAGCAAGUGCAGGACCUGUGCUUGUCUGGCCUGAGGGCAAUGGGCAUCACUCAGCAGCUGCUGCAUGAGCAGCACUGUAAGGCACAGGGGGUCUUUGUCAAGAGUUAAAGAAGAAAUUAAAGUGAAAACAAGGUUUUAAGCUAUAUAUUUUACACUGCUCAUUUCCAAUCUUCUCCUAGGCUAUGCAUAUGUUGAAAUGUUUUAAAAGUAGUCGAUUUUAUGCCUUUUGCUAUCUAAAGUCUUUGGAUGUGCUCCACUUAUUCUUAGGUUCCCUUUCCAUUUACAUCAUUAGAUGCAUUUCCAUAUGAAAUACAUACAUAAUCAGCUGUCUGAAGGGCAUUUUUAGAUGGGGAAGAACUCCAAAUAUUCAUAUUCUCAUGGUAAGAUUGCAAGCAUUGCCACACUGUGUAUUUUAGUUCACACUGUGUGUUUAUGCAUAUUCUUCCUGUCCCUGCAGAUGUUCCCAGCUUCUCUUUAUAGAUCCCAAACACUGACCCUUCUCUCGAAUACUAAAUUCUCCAUGUCAGUUUAGCUAAUGACUGUUUUGGUUUUUUUUAGAUAUAAGCUCGAUUCUGCAGACAACGGGAAUGAAUGCAGGUGUCUCAAAUUCUUCAUGCCUCUUUCUGAUAAAUAUUUCACCAGCCUUUCUUUCUCCCUGCUUGCACUCAGGACGCUGGAUGACAUUUGCACUAACAGUGUUUUAUUUUAUCAUGUUGAAGAGCAUUGUAGAUAUUGCCAUAUAGAAUAGGCAGCUCCUUUGGAUUGGUAGCAGUUGCUGUUGACGGCUAGGCAUAAAGCUACUUUCAAAUACUUAUUGUGCUGAUACAACAUGUAAUUAAAGGGAGGAUGGAUGAAACUUGUUUGCUGCUGGAUUCACAGGCGCUUGCCUGGGGCUCAGCGAGGAGGAACUCAGCCAAAGCUGAGGCUCCAGUCCCUAAUUGGAGCAUCGCGUGGGGGAGAUGCGGGAAGCAUUCCUCCUCUUUCAGCAGAGCAGAGCUGGUGUGACGGCAGGCAGGUUGCUGGGGGUGACAAGGGCAUGCUUUUCCCUCCCUGCUGUGGAGCUCUUGAACUGGCAGCGCGUGAUCUGAGUGUAGGUAAGUGGCCCGAGAGCAUAGGACGUGUCCCUGGGCUGUGACUGUACAGCGGUGGGUGGCUGUAAAGCAGUGUUGGGAAGCAGCAGUCCCACAAGGAGUAGAGCAGAAGUGAGGGAGACAUUUCAGAGCGUGAAGCCCUGCAGUCUCGUAAGGCUGAAUCACUGUGAUAAAGAAAACUUGAAGGAAGAGCAGUUGACAUGUUUCGUUUUUUUUUUUAACAAAUUAUAAAGGGGCAGUAUUGCUUUAAAGCUCGUCUGCAGCAUUUGUAUUCACCUCUGCUGUUGAUCUGCACAGCCAGAGCUGGCUGGCUUCCUUGUGAAGUCAAGAUUUCUGCUGGGGCAGUAGGCAGGGGAAAAACAGAAGCCUCAUCAUCUCUGCCCUGGCUAUAUGCUGGGGACAGCCGCUGGACUGGGCAGGGUAAUGCGUGCUUUUGAUGCUUAGUGUAUCUAUGG